rnacentral:rRNA from 4 species
UUGAGCUAACCGGUACUAAUGAACCGUGAGGCUUAACCUUACAACGCCGAAGC